UACAGAGGGUGCGAGCGUUAAUCGGAAUUACUGGGCGUAAAGCGCACGUAGGCGGCUUUGUAAGUUAGAGGUGAAAGCCCGGAGCUCAACUCCGGAAUUGCCUUUAAGACUGCAUCGCUUGAAUCCAGGAGAGGUGAGUGGAAUUCCGAGUGUAGAGGUGAAAUUCGUAGAUAUUCGGAAGAACACCAGUGGCGAAGGCGGCUCACUGGACUGGUAUUGACGCUGAGGUGCGAAAGCGUGGGGAGCAAACAGG
rnacentral:rRNA from 1 species